CCCUUAGAUGUCCUGGGCCGCACGCGCGCUACACUGAACGGAUCAGCGCGUUUUCCCUUCCCGAGAGGGACGGGUAACCUGCUGAACCCCGUUCGUGGUAGGGAUCGGGGCUUGCAAUUAUUCCCCGUGAACCAGGAACGCCCAGUAAGUGCAAGUCAUAAGCUUGCGUUGAUUACGUCCCUGCCCUUUGUACACACCGCCCGUCGCUACUACCGAUUGAACGUUUUAGUGAGGUACUCGGACUGAGCCUCAGAAGAUUCACGUCUUUUGUGCUGCUCGGGAAGAUUCCCAAACUUGAGCGUUUAGAGGAAGUAAAAGUCGUAACA
rnacentral:rRNA from 1 species